rnacentral:rRNA from 1 species
AACGAACGCUGGCGGCACGCCUAACACAUGCAAGUCGAACGCAGUAGCAAUACUGAGUGGCAAACGGGUGAGUAUAAUGUGGGAAUCUGCCUUUUGGUUUGGAAUAACACGGGGAAACCUGUGCUAAUACCGAAUAAGCCCUUACGGGGAAAGUUUUAAUGCCGAAAGAUGAGCCCGCACUUGAUUAGCUAGUUGGUAAGGUAAAAGCUUACCAAGGCAACGAUCAAUAGCUGUUCUUAGAGGAAGACCAGCCACAUUGGGACUGAGACACGGCCCAGACUCCUACGGGAGGCAGCAGUGGGGAAUCUUGCACAAUGGGGGAAACCCUGAUGCAGCGAUGCCGCGUGAGUGAAGAAGGCCUUUGGGUUGUAAAACUCUUUCGUCGGGGAAGAAAAUGACUGUACCCGAAUAAGAAGGUCCGGCUAACUUCGUGCCAGCAGCCGCGGUAAUACGAAGGGACCUAGCGUAGUUCGGAAUUACUGGGCUUAAAGAGCUCGUAGGUGGUUAAAAAAGUUGAUGGUGAAAUCCCAAGGCUCAACCUUGGAACUGCCAUCAAAACUUUUUAGCUAGAGUGUGAUAGAGGUAAGUGGAAUUUCUAGUGUAGAGGUGAAAUUCGUAGAUAUUAGAAAGAACACCAAAUGCGAAGGCAACUUACUGGGUCACUACUGACACUGAGGAGCGAAAGCAUGGGUAGCGAAGAGGAUUAGAUACCCUCGUAGUCCAUGCCGUAAACGAUGUGUGCUAGACGUUGGAAAUAUAUUUUUCAGUGUCGCAGCGAAAGCAUUAAGCACACCGCCUGGGGGAGUACGACCGCAAGGUUAAAACUCAAAUGAAUUGACGGGGACCCGCACAAGCAGUGGAGCAUGUGGUUUAAUUCGAAGAUACGCGCAGAACCUUACCAACACUUGACAUGUUCGUCGCGAGACUAAGAGAUUAGUCUUUUCAGUUCGGCUGGACGAAACACAGGUGCUGCAUGGCUGUCGUCAGCU